rnacentral:ncRNA from 1 species
CGAAAAUAGAGUUGCAGGUUGGUAUCUCCUGCGCCCAUCUAGGGUUCUUCCGUCCACG